GACGAACGCUGGCGGCGUGCUUAACACAUGCAAGUCGAACGGAAAGGCCCUGCUUUUGUGGGGUGCUCGAGUGGCGAACGGGUGAGUAACACGUGAGUAACCUGCCCCUGACCUUGGGAUAACUUCAGGAAACUGGGGCUAAUACCGGAUAGGAGCUCCUGCUGCAUGGUGGGGGUUGGAAAGUUUCGGCGGUUGGGGAUGGACUCGCGGCUUAUCAGCUUGUUGGUGGGGUAGUGGCUUACCAAGGCUUUGACGGGUAGCCGGCCUGGGAGGGUGACCGGCCACAUUGGGACUGAGAUACGGCCCAGACUCCUACGGGAGGCAGCGGUGGGGAAUAGUGCACAAUGGGCGGAAGCCUGAUGCAGCAACGCCGCGUGCGGGAUGACGGCCUUCGGGUUGUAAACCGCUUUCGCCUGUGACGAAGCGUGAGUGACGGUAAUGGGUAAAGAAGCACCGGCUAACUACGUG
rnacentral:rRNA from 1 species